AUACGGAGGGGGCUAGCGUUGUUCGGAAUUACUGGGCGUAAAGGGCGCGUAGGCGGAUUGUCAAGUCAGAGGUGAAAGCCCUGGGCUCAACCUGGGAACUGCCUUUGAAACUAGCAACCUUGAGUCCGAGAGAGGAUGGCGGAAUUCCCAGUGUAGAGGUGAAAUUCGUAGAUAUUGGGAAGAACACCAGUGGCGAAGGCGGCCAUCUGGAUCGGUACUGACGCUGAGGCGCGAAAGCGUGGGGAGCAAACAGGAUUAGAUACCCCGGUAGUCC
rnacentral:rRNA from 1 species